rnacentral:rRNA from 1 species
CCUACGGGAGGCAGCAGUCGAGAAUCAUUCACAAUGGGGGAAACCCUGAUGGUGCGACGCCGCGUGGGGGAAUGAAGGUCUUCGGAUUGUAAACCCCUGUCAUGUGGGAGCAAAUUAAAAAGAUAGUACCACAAGAGGAAGAGACGGCUAACUCUGUGCCAGCAGCCGCGGUAAUACAGAGGUCUCAAGCAUUGUUCGGAAUCACUGGGCGUAACGCGUGCGUAGGCUGUUUCGUAAGUCGUGUGUGAAAGGCGCGGGCUCAACCCGCGGACGGCACAUGAUACUGCGAGACUAGAGUAAUGGAGGGGGAACCGGAAUUCUCGGUGUAGCAGUGAAAUGCGUAGAUAUCGAGAGGAACACUCGUGGCGAAGGCGGGUUCCUGGACAUUAACUGACGCUGAGGCACGAAGGCCAGGGGAGCGAAAGGGAUUAGAUACCCUUGUAGUC